rnacentral:rRNA from 1 species
AUUGAACGCUGGCGGCAGGCUUAACACAUGCAAGUCGAGCGGAGAUGAGGUGCUUGCACCUUAUCUUAGCGGCGGACGGGUGAGUAAUGCUUAGGAAUCUGCCUAUUAGUGGGGGACAACAUUCCGAAAGGAAUGCUAAUACCGCAUACGUCCUACGGGAGAAAGCAGGGGAUCUUCGGACCUUGCGCUAAUAGAUGAGCCUAAGUCGGAUUAGCUAGUUGGUGGGGUAAAGGCCUACCAAGGCGACGAUCUGUAGCGGGUCUGAGAGGAUGAUCCGCCACACUGGGACUGAAACACGGCCCAGACUCCUACGGGAGGCAGCAGUGGGGAAUAUUGGACAAUGGGGGAAACCCUGAUCCAGCCAUGCCGCGUGUGUGAAGAAGGCCUUAUGGUUGUAAAGCACUUUAAGCGAGGAGGAGGCUACUGAGACUAAUACUCUUGGAUAGUGGACGUUACUCGCAGAAUAAGCACCGGCUAACUCUGUGCCAGCCGCCGCAGUAA